GCGUGUUAUUGUAAAAGCUAUAAUAUCUAAAAUCACCACAAUUAAUUUUUAUGUUAUCGAUUUUAUAACAGUGUUAUAAAGCAAAUACCGAGGAAGAGAUAUAGAGAAAUAUCACUCCAAAACAGAAUAAUAUCUUUCUGUUAAAUUAAGAGAAGAACAUAUCAUAUGACAACUCCAUCCAACACGAAAGCUUCUGUGGGGAACAGUUGUACUUCCUUUAGUUCAUUAUUGUUAUAAUAGUGGUCUAUUUGGUCACUUUAUAGCACACUUUCUCUGAGAACACAUCAUUACUUAUUUUUGCUCAUUUUAUCGUUGUUCAAUUUUCCCUGUCAAUUUGGCAGUGCAGUUUAAUUUGCAUAUUGUUUUUGCCACUUUCAUGCUUUGUUUUAUAUUCAUAAUAAGAUAUUAUCUAUUAUUAGAAGACGGGUUUUGAUGAUAAUUGAGUCAUGAAGGGAGACCGUAUAAAUAAAUGUUAUAUCAUUCAGGAUGUCAUUAUUUCAAUACAAUACUUAACUUGUUUGCGACG